rnacentral:rRNA from 1 species
CGUGUAGGUGGACUGAUCAGUCGGGUGUGAAAUAUCCAGGCUCAACCUGGAGGGUGCAUCCGAUACGGUCAGUCUUGAGUGCAGGAGAGGGCAGUGGAAUUCCCAGUGUAGCGGUGAAAUGCGUAGAUAUUGGGAGGAACACCAGUGGCGAAGGCGGCUGCCUGGACUGUAACUGACACUGAGGCGCGAAAGCGUGGGGAGCAAACAG